rnacentral:lncRNA from 1 species
CCUAUUGUUGUUCUACUAGCUACGUAUGGAAAUGCAAGCGGGGCGGAUCUGAGUGCAAAAGGAAUCCUGUAUCUAGUUGUGUUUCUGAUUGGAUCAGGGCUGAUUCAAGAAGAAUUAAUUUUAAUUCUAUUUUUAGUCCCCACUUUUUAUUCUAUUUGGAGUGGAUCAGGACGGAAGCAUGUCUUUGACCUUUUUAAGCAAAUAGAGUUAAUAAAAAGAAGAAAAGGUUUUCUCACCUUUCGCUUUAUUUACUUCACGAAUCGGCCAGAUUCGAAAUGUGUUAUAUUUUUCUAUAAUUGUAUUCCCACUCACUAUUCUGUUCGAGACAGAUCGGUUAGUGGCUCCACCAACCGGAAUCCAUUUGCAUCCCUAGCAACAUAGACUUUAACGGUUUAACUAGUAAAAUCAUCUAAUCUAAAUUAUGAAUAAAUUCUAUUUGUAAUAAGCUUUUGAGUUAAACUCUAAUUAAGUUUGGAUUGUGAUUUUCAGCCGACCAAACAAUGAAAUCAUCACAACUAUUUAUACAAACAAUAAAAUCAUUAGAACUAUUUUCUAAUAAAUAAUUGACUCCUAUUAUUU